rnacentral:lncRNA from 1 species
GCACAUAGUGGUUCCAGGAUUUCCAAGUUUAAGAAUCAUGAUGAUUUCUACUUGUAUGUCAAUAUGAAAGAAAUGGUCUUCGAUAGAGAUUUUGGUAAUACUGGAAACCAAAAGAACAAUUAGAGACCGAAUUACUAUGAAGGAGAUGAGACAAUUUAUGCCACUAAAUCCACCAGCAGCCCUCAGCAAGGCAGAAACCCUUGGGGGUCACACAUAGGCUUAGCCUAGUGAGCCUUGGACACACCCGAUGCUCAGUAUUCAACGUCAAUAAUGCAAGACCAUGACCAUCAUCAGAAGAGCAGCAGUCCUGUAAUAAUCCAAAUGGGCAACAAUUGGCUGACUUGGGGUCAUGGCCUCCACUACAUAACUAAAAAGACUAAUCAAAUAAAGCUUAUUCACACACUGUGUUGGAAGCAAUGUUUACAAGGGCGCCCUCAGUCAUGAAAGUCUGUUACAGAAAGAUUGUCAUUUAGUUCUGUCUCCUGCUUCAUCAAUGUACUGCUUGAAUGAUGCCUGUUCAUCGUACGAGCAAAGUUGUUUACACCAAGCUCCCCAACACAACAUCAAUACUCAACGAGUGACAACAUCUCCAUCCUAUCAAGGCCAAGCCUGUCCACCAUCACCUUUCAAUAUGACAGUAAAUUCUAAAGCAGUGGGGAAGGGUCACCUGACUAUUGACCUUCAACCUGAUGGUGAACGGACUCAAAAUGAGGUUGAAAGAAUGGAUGUGUGGGAUUAGGUCUGUGAAACACAAUUGAAGCCAUGGAAAUGUCUGAGCAGUGUCUCUUACUUCUGGUGAGUCCAUUAAUGAUGUUGAAGAAACAAACAGUGGUUUGGGAGACAAGGCCUGUAGCCAUUGUGUGAUGACAGGAUGUGUGGCCUGUAGAUCUGAAGAUUCUCUCCACAGCCAUGUAAUGCACAGUGACAGACAAAGCCCACCUGGCUAUUGACCUUUAACCUGAUGGUGAACUUACUCAAACUGAGUUGGUGGGAUAGAGUGAAACAGAAUUAUAAGCCAUGGAAACGUGCGGACAGCUGCAUGUACGUUACCUUGAAAUGCUCGGUACUCAACGUCAGUGAUGCAGACUGUGACCAUCAUUGGAAGAGCAGCAGUCCUGUAAUAAUCCAAAUGGGUAACACUUGGCUGGCUGGGGGUCAUGACCCCACUACAUAACUAAAAAGACAAAUCAAAUGAAGCUUAGUCACACACCGGGUUGGAAACAAUGUUUACAAGGGCACCCUCAGCCAUCAAAGUCUGUUACAGAAAGGUAAAUGUCAUUUAGUCUUUAUAAAUUGCACAGAUGGAAAUUUUA